UCUCAGUGCCGGCUGAUUGCCUGACUAAGUGGUUCGUUCACUACGUUUGUGCUGGCCUUAAGCCUCUUCUCCCCUCACGGAGAUUAUCUUGUGCUUCAUUUUUUGAUGACUGUUGUGGAUUCAUGCUCGUUUUACCCCUGGACUAACUCCUUCUCUCUUUCUCGUUUUUUCCGGGUCUCCACGAGCUCCCGCCACCACCACCAUCAUUGCUUUGUUCACUUUUUACUCAUAUGUAAAUAAAAAUCACUGUUUGUUGAAAUCCUGAUCUGAUUCAGCCUCUGCUCUGGGUCCACCUAUUCACAACACCUAACAGAAUCAGCCGGCCUCGUUAUGGAGUCCGCGAGGUUGGAUCAAAUCAAGGACGCUCUGGUGUCACAUGGAACACUUUUGGGACAACAUGAUUCGCUUCUCAAGGGAGUGACUGGAACUUUGGAGGAGAUGACUCGCCAAAUGCAACAGAUUAGCGCUCAGCUGAUUGAGGCCAGAGGCCCCCCUGCUACUGCGGUGAGUGCCGCGCCGGCUUCUCCCCCUGCCGCUCUCUCUCCAGACUCGGUUCAUUUUAAAGAACCGUUUGUUUCACACCCUGAGCCAUUUUCGGGUGAUUUUGGGUCCUGUAGCCGUUUUUUGUUUAAUUGUAGCCUUGUGUUUAAGCUCCAGCCCUACAGUUAUGCCUCCGAUGAGGCCAAAAUUGCUUAUACCAUUAAUCUCCUUAGGGGUAAAGCCCAACUACGUAGGGUUUUUGAUCACCCGGUUCUGGGCCAAGAUGCUGCUAAACAGCUCCUGGCAUUAUCUCAGGGGGGUCAAUCGGUGGCUAGCUUUGCGGUCGAUUUCCAAAUUUUGGCUGGGAGGUGUGGUUGGGAUGAGGCUGCAUUAAAGGCAAGGGUCAAGGGGCUUUCGGAGGAAUUGAAGGAUGAAUUGGCAACUAGGGAUGAGCCAGACUCACUACAGGAACUGUUUGAUCUAGCGAUUAAAAUAGACGGUAGAUUGAGAGAGAGAGACAGGGAGAGGGCUGCUAGUGCUCCCCGUCAGACUCCCCCUUCUGGUCAUGUGGUUUCCACUGCUCGCCCUACUCUAGGCCAACUUACUCCACCUGCACCUACGCCACCUGCUACUGCUCCCCCUGCUGACUCGGAGGAGCCCAUGCAGCUGGGCAAGACUCGGCUGAGUCUAAGGGAGAGAAGAAGACGGAGAGUGGAGAAUCUCUGCCUUUACUGUGGAGGAGCGGAGCAUUCCCUUCAGUCCUGCCCCCUUCUGUUAAAAGACAGGACUCAUCAUUAAGCAAGGGCGUAAUGGUGAGUCGGCUAUCAACCCCCAGAAGCCCUUCUUCCAGGUCCACGUUUCCUGCCUCUCUUAGUUUUCCCUCCUCCGUUAUUAAGACUUCAGUUUUUCUUGACUCUGGCGCGGAUGAUAAUUUUAUUGAUGAGGCCUUUGUUAAAGCUCACAAUAUUCCCACUAACUCGCUUUCUCAGGCUAAACAGGUUCUGGCAUUGGACGGUCGAGUCAUUUCGGAGGUUGAAUUUGAGACAGUUCACCUCACCUUACUACUUUCCGGUAAUCAUUCCGAGAAAAUUAAGUUUUUUUUCAUUUCGUCUCCCUGUUCCCCACUUAUUCUCCUGCUGCCUUGGUUUAAACUGCAUAGUCCUCACAUUAACUGGGUCACGUCCUCUAUUGUCAGUUGGAGCACUCAUUGUCACUCUUUUUGUUUGCAGUCGGCAGUCGUUAACCCUCCUUCGGUUACACCGGCACCUCCUGAUCUUUCUUCGGUACCCUCUUGCUAUCAUGACUUAGCACAGGUAUUUAGUAAAGAUCUGGCUAAGACACUGCCUCCGCACCGUCCUUACGACUGCGCGAUUAACCUGCUCCCUGGCGCCCCCUUACCUUCUGGCCGACUUUACAACCUGUCUCGUUCAGAGAAGGAUUCCAUGCAGACUUACAUUUCCGAGUCGUUGGCUUCCGGGUUAAUUCGGCCUUCUUCGUCUCCCGUAGGGGCGGGUUUUUUCUUCGUGGGUAAGAGGGAUUCUUCACUUCGGCCGUGCAUCGAUUUCCGUGGUCUUAAUGACAUAACCAUUAAAGAUAAGUCUCCCAUUCCUCUUAUCGAUCCCUCAUUUGAGCCCCUGUGUCAUGCUAAGAUCUUCUCCAAACUUGAUCUUAGAAACGCGUAUCAUCUCAUCCGGAUCAGAGAGGGAGAUGAAUGGAAAACUGCCUUUAACACACCCAUGGGACAUUUUGAGUAUUUGGUGAUGCCUUUUGGUCUCACCAAUGCUCCGGCAGUUUUUCAGUCAUUUAUGAAUGACAUUUUCCGGGACGUGCUGAAUAAGUUUGUUUUCAUUUACCUCGAUGACAUCUUGAUAUUCUCCAAGAAUCAAGAUGAUCAUCGUCAGAACCUCCGUCUCAUUCUCCAGCGUCUCUCAGAAAACCGUCUCUAUGUAAAGCCUGAGAAAUGCGAGUUUCAUGCGUCCAGAGUCAGUUUUUUAGGUUAUAUCAUAGAGGCUGGUCAGUUACGCCCCGACCCUUGCAAGAUCCAAGCUGUGAUCAGUUGGCCCACCCCUACCACCCGUAAGGAGUUACAGCGGUUUUUAGGUUUUGCUAACUUCUACCGUAGAUUUAUUCGUAACUACAGUAGCGUAGCUAAACCUCUCACUCAGCUCACCUCUGUCAAGGUCCCCUUCUGUUGGUCAGACGAGGCUGACAGCGCCUUCCAGGACCUCAAGACAUUGUUCACCUCUGCCCCUGUACUCCUGCACCCUGACCCCUCUCUACAGUUCGUGGUGGAGGUGGAUGCCUCUGACUCCGGCGUCGGUGCUAUCCUCUCCCAGCGAGACCCAACUACCUACAAGCUGCACCCUUGUGCUUUUUUUUCUCGUCGCCUUUCCCCCGCAGAGCGAAAUUACGACGUGGGAAACCGAGAACUCUUAGCGGUGGUGGGAGCUCUACAAGAGUGGAGACACUGGCUGGAGGGCGUGGAGAAGCCUUUUUUGAUCUGGACGGACCAUAAGAACCUGGCGUAUCUCCGGACAGCAAAAUGGCUCAACCCGAGGCAGGCCAGGUGGUCUCUUUUCCUGAGUCGUUUUAACUUCUCCAUUUCAUAUCGCCCCGGAUCCAAGAACACCAAGCCUGAUGCUCUCUCCCGGGUCUUCUCCCCUCCAUCGGAGCCUGAGGGUCCUUCUUCCAUCCUUCCUCCCUCCUGCAUCCUCGGUGCCGCUCAUUGGGACGUGGAGCGUGUUGUUAGGGAGGCCCAGACACGUCAUCCGGAUCCCGGAACUGGUCCCCCCAAUCUCCGUUCGGUCGGAGGUUCUCCAAUGGGGACACUCCUCCAAACUAAGCUGUCACCCCGGUAUUAAUCGCACCCUGUCUUUCCUCCGGCAGAGGUUUUGGUGGCCCUCAAUGGCUCGAGACACUCGGGAGUUCGUGGCUGCCUGCUCAGUCUGUGCCCAGGGAAAGGCCUCCCACAAGCCACCAGCUGGUCUGCUGCGCCCCCUGCCGGUGCCCAGUCGCCCCUGGUCUCACAUUGCUGUGGACUUUGUCACCGGUUUGCCCCCCUCACAAGGUAACACUGUCAUCCUCACCAUAGUGGAUCGCUUCUCCAAAAUGGUCCAUUAUGUACCACUCCCUAAAUUGCCUACCGCA